rnacentral:misc_RNA from 1 species
GGAACGCAAUGCCGAUCGCAUCGCGCAGCAGACCGAGGAGCUUGAAGCGCUGGUGAAGGAGAGGGAUGGGCGGAAGCGGGGCUAGGCCGAAGCCAACCGUCAGUUCAGUGACGGAUUGCGGGGACGAUAGCUGCCGGACUUGUCCUUGACGAAGAUCUCGGCGACCUGCGAAUGCCGGAUCGGCUCACCCGACUCGUCAGGC